AACUUUUGGCAAUGGAUCUCUUGGCUCUCGCAUCGAUGAAGAACGCAGCGAGAUGCGAUAAGAAAUGUGAAUUGCAGAAUUCAGUGUAUCAUCGAAUCUUUGAACGCACCUUGCGCUCCUUGGUAUUCCGAGUAGCAUGCCUGUUUGAGUGUCAUUAAUAUAUAUAUCAGACUUGUCUUUGUUGAGUGGUCUGGAUGUGGGAGUUUUAGCUAGCUUGUUCAGCUCCCCUGAAAUGCAUUAGCAGAACAAACCUUGUUCAUUGGUGUGAUAACUAUCUACGCUAUUGAAUGUGAGGGGAAGUUCAGCUUUCUAACAGUCCUUGGACAACUCAUCCUUAAUGUGACCUCAAAUCAGGUAGGACUACCCGCUGAACUUAAGCAUAUCAAUAAGCGGAGGCU
rnacentral:misc_RNA from 1 species